UGGGGAAUAUUGCACAAUGGGCGAAAGCCUGAUGCAGCAACGCCGCGUGAGUGAUGAAGGUCUUCGGAUUGUAAAGCUCUGUCUUUUGGGACGAUAAUGACGGUACCAAAGGAGGAAGCCACGGCUAACUACGUGCCAGCAGCCGCGGUAAUACGUAGGUGGCGAGCGUUGUCCGGAUUUACUGGGCGUAAAGGGUGCGUAGGCGGAUGUUUAAGUGAGAUGUGAAAUACCCGGGCUUAACUUGGGUGCUGCAUUUCAAACUGGAUAUCUAGAGUGCAGGAGAGGAGAAUGGAAUUCCUAGUGUAGCGGUGAAAUGCGUAGAGAUUAGGAAGAACACCAGUGGCGAAGGCGAUUCUCUGGACUGUAACUGACGCUGGGGCACGAAAGCGUGGGUAGCAAACAGGAUUAGAUACCCUGGUAGUCCACGCCGUAAACGAUGAGUACUAGGUGUAGGAGGUAUCGACCCCUUCUGUGCCGCAGUAAACACAUUAAGUACUCCGCCUGGGAAGUACGAUCGCAAGAUUAAAAC
rnacentral:rRNA from 1 species